GUCGAUUCAGUCACAGGAACCUAUAACCGGAGUAGGGGCAUUAAGGUGGGCGGAUAUUGGCUCGAUUGAGCGGGUAGGGCCUAAUAGGGUUAAAUGUUGGCUUGCCCGUUCCAAGUUAGGAGAUGAGUCUUGACAUCCAGGCUAAGACCUGGGUGACGUGGCUCCUAAAGUGGAGGAAAUUGCGUGAAGCUGGUUUCAUAGAGCAGCGUCCACUUCCUGCUCCCGUCGGUGGAAGGAUAAUUGGUCGGUGCUCCGCAGGGUCCAACAACGCCUUUUCAACUGCUCACAAUUUGACAUCCACCUUU
rnacentral:SRP_RNA from 1 species